ACUGAAUAGAUACCCGGGUAGUCCAGGGUGUAAGCGCUGCGGGCUUGGUGUUGGGGGUCCGUUUGAGGGCGCCCAGUGCCGGAGAGAAAGUUGUUAAGCCUGCUGCUUGGGGAGUACGUCCGCAAGGAUGAAACUUAAAGGAAUUGGCGGGGGAGCACCGCAACGGGAGGAGCGUGCGGUUCAAUUGGAUUCAACGCCGGACAACUCACCAGGAGCGACGGUUACAUGAAGGCCAGGCUGAUGACCUUGCCUGAUUUUCCGAGAGGUGGUGCAUGGCCGUCGUCAGUUCGUACCGUAAGGCGUUCUCUUAAGUGAGAUAACGAACGAGACCCUCACCGCUAAUUGCUAGUGUUCUCU
rnacentral:rRNA from 1 species